GACGAACGCUGGCGGCGUGCCUAAUACAUGCAAGUCGAACGCAGUGGGGACGGGUGAGUAACACGUGGGUAACCUCCCAUCAGAGGGGAUAACACUUGGAAACAGGUGCUAAACCGAUACUGAUGGAUGAACCCGCGGUGCAUUAGCUAGUUGGUUCGGUAACGGCUCACCAAGGCCACGAUGCAUAGCCGGCCUUGUAGGAGGAUCGGGCACACUGGGACUGAGACACGGCCCAGGCUCCGACGGAAGGCAGCAGUAGGGAAUCUUCGGAAAUGGACGAAAGGCUGACCGAGCAACGCCGCGAGAGUGAAGAAGGUUUUCGGAUCGUAAAACUCUGUUGUUAGAGAAGCGGUAUCUAACCAGAAAGCCACGGCUAACUACGUGCCAGCAGCCGCGGUAAUUC
rnacentral:rRNA from 1 species